UACGUAGGGUGCAAGCGUUAAUCGGAAUUACUGGGCGUAAAGGGCGCGUAGGCGGUCGUGACAAGUCACUUGUGAAAUCUCCGGGCUUAACUCGGAACGGUCAAGUGAUACUGUCGGACUAGAGUACAGAAGGGGCAACUGGAAUUCUCGGUGUAGCGGUGAAAUGCGUAGAUAUCGAGAGGAACACCUGCGGCGAAGGCGGGUUGCUGGGCUGAUACUGACGCUGAGACGCGAAAGCGUGGGGAGCAAACAGG
rnacentral:rRNA from 1 species